CAGGAGGUGUUUGUUUGCAUUGUGAUUGGAUAAGAGGACUUCCGUUAUUGUUGUCCAGACUGCCUUGGCAACGAACACUAGACACUUGUUAUGAGGUCUGUAUUAUAUCCAUUACUGAUAGCAGCCACAACACACGAGACGCCUUACAAAGACCAAUAUGAAAUUGACGUGUUUCGUGCUAGCGGCAGUGUUCGGAACCGUCGUUUCCACAACAAACGAUACUUAUACGACAACAACAACGUCAAUACCAUCAACAACAGGUGCGCCUUCAACAACACCUCAAGCGUCGACCUCAAGUAGAGGUACAUCUUCGUCUUCAAUUGCAACUAUAACUACGUCUAUACCAUCCACAACAAAAACUAGAUCCCUGUCAUCAGAAACAACCAAGACAACACCAACUACUACCUCAGCACCAGCUACAACUUCAGAACUUGCUGAUACAACAAUACUAGCUAAUACAACAACACCAGGAAAUACAACAACACCAGGAAAUACAACAACACCAGGAUAUACAACAACACCAGAUUACAGUGGAUCCACUAACUAUGGGCUGUCCCCACUACUCCUGUUGUCUGGACUUAUAAUCACGACGUUCCUGUAUUCGUGAUUGGGACCUAACAGACAGAGUGGUUGAUAUUCUGAUGACAGAGACUUCGCCUUAUAAGAAAAUGACGGAUUACAGCCACUUUCAGUUUUAAGUUCGCAAGCAAUGGAUCUCCUGGCAAUAAAUGCUAUAUGAUUGUACGUUAUUAUGCUGAACUGUAAAUAUGUUCAAUUUAAUUGAUAGGGCUUUGGUAAUAUUAACUUCACAUAUGCAUAAAGUAUACCAUUGAUAACUGUGUUAGAUAUAUCGUGAUUUUGUCCAUUGUAUGUAUAAUACAUUGUAUUUCAAAUGGUGCACUGUAUGUCGAACAUUGUCUACGAUUAAUUUUGAUUUCACUCGCUCACUCACUCAUGCAACCACAUACUUAUACACUCACUCACUCAUUUACCCGCCCAUUUACCCACGCAUCCACUCAUCCACUCCUUGAUUCACUCACUUAUCCACUCACCCACUUAUACACCUACUUAUACACUCACUCACUCAUUUACCCGCCCAUUUACCCACCCAUCCACUCAUCCACUCCUUGAUUCACUCACUUAUCCACUCACCCACUUAUACACUCACUUAUACACUCACUCACCCAUUCACUCAUCACUCGACAUUCACUUCUAUUUGACUUAUAAUGUUCCAGAACGUGUUUAUUAACAAGUAUGUAGAGUAAAGGCUUAAAUCUGGGUAAAGUCAACGCUUCCAAAAAAAAGAGUUAAAGAUUAGUCUACCAACGACGUUUUGUAAUCGUGUAGGUGAAAAGUAAAAAAAUCAUAAAUGUCUCGUCUGCAUAUUAUAAUGAAUUACUUGAUUUGAACGUUCAAUAUAUAAUCUGUAUGAUUUCUUUGCCUAUAUACUAGCAUAUACAUUUAUGAAAAAAAACACUUAUUUUUGGGGGAUAAACUAAUUGCAAAAUUAUUAUUGAUAUAUAAUCGAAAUUUCGAUAUGAUUAUUUUGUCGCCUUUGGACUAUGUUCGAAGUAGUAUAGAUAUUGAAAAAUGAAAGUUAUAGCGAUUUGAAUUAAGUCAAUAAUAGUCGUUUCAUUAUCAUUAAUAUUUGUUUAUUUAUUUACUUGAUUUUACGACAAAUUUUUCCGUUUUUGCAAACUAAUGUUUUACCUAAAAAAACUUGUUAACGUAAGGGGAGAUAAUCGUUCAGUUGCCAAUUUUGUAAAGGUUUGUAUAUACUGUUGCUAGUUUCAGGAGCCGUAGCUCGUUAUUAUCCGAUUAAUCAAUAUUUAAAAAAGGUUUUAGUAUCAUCUGACUUAAAAGGAUUGUUUCAAGAUUAUUAAAAUAGUACGCCUUUAAAGUAGAAUUAAUAUCGUUGCGCUAUGGUGGAAAAAGCCCAUUCGGACACUGGCACGUCAUUCGUUAAUUGUAAUUACAGUUUUACAGUAUUACAGUUGUAAGAGGAAGUAUGUACAGACUAUUCAUUAUUAGGAUACAAUCAUAAUUGAUGGCAAUUGAAUUGCUGUUUUAACUAAUAUAUUAUUUUAAAUGCUUUUAAUAAUUAAAAUUGAUGCA